rnacentral:tRNA from 1 species
AGCAGCGUAGCUCAGUGGAAAGAGCACGGGCUUGGGAGUCAGAGGUCAUGGGUUCGAUUCCCGGCUCUGCCA